rnacentral:rRNA from 1 species
AGAAUCAACGCUGGCGGCGUGCCUAACACAUGCAAGUCGCACGAGAAAGGGGAGCAAUCCCUGAGUAAAGUGGCGCACGGGUGAGUAACACGUGAAUGAUCUACCUCCGAGUGGGGAAUAACUGAGAGAAAUCUUAGCUAAUACCGCAUAACACUUACGAGUCAAAGCAGCAAUGCGCUUGGAGAGGAGUUCGCGGCCGAUUAGCUGGUUGGCGGGGUAAUGGCCCACCAAGGCGAUGAUCGGUA